rfam:Picea glauca, whole genome shotgun sequence.
GUAUGUACAUGCCUAUAGGGUUAAUGCAUUGGAUCUCGUUAGAACUCUAAGCGUUCUUGGGAUAGAGUAGUACUAGGGUGGGUGAUCUCCUUGGAAGUCCUAGUGUUUUACAUUCC